rnacentral:lncRNA from 1 species
AGCUAGCUUGUUCCACAAGCUACUAUAAAGAGUUAACUUAUUCUAGAAGCUACCAUCAUGUGGUUAACUUAUUAGUCAAGUUUUUAUCCUAUAAAUACAUCUAAAGUCAAAACCACAUCAAUGAAGCUUCUACAAAGCUUUUCUAAAAACUUUAUAAAAUUAAUCUAUAUUUACCUACUUCUACCUAAUCAUAUAAAUAACCAUUGGGAUAAAUAUAUAUGUCCAUGACAUUAUUCUUCUUUCUAGGGAUGAAUUCCACAAAGAGUGUUCAUCAUCUUUUAUGGAUCUU